rnacentral:lncRNA from 1 species
CACAGUGGCGCGCCGUUCCGAGCAAUGAGACUGCAGGCACAGGUGCGGCCGGAUUCCCUGUCGCUGUCCCGCGCUGAGUGAAUUUUGCCUUGGAGCUGGUCCGAGGUCGCGCCUGCUCUUUUGUAUGUCCAAGGCAGAUUUCCAGAAGGAGAAAUCUGUCUUCUAACUCUAAGGCCUUGGGAGAUGAAGGAUCCGUGAUUCUAAGGCAGAAAUAGAUGGAGUCUUGCUGUGUUCUCCAGGAUUGAGUACAGUGGCUAUUCACAGAUGUGAUCAUACUACACUACAGCCUCAAACUCCCGGGGUCAAGCAGUCCUCCUGCUUCAGCCUCCUGAGGAGCUGGGACUACAGGUCCACAUCACCAUGCCCACUAGAUUCACAGUCAUUUUGCUUGUGGAAGGUCUUGCCUCAAUGUUGAUAGGUGCUGACUGAUCAGGGUCAGGUUGCUGACUGAUCAGAAUGGUAGUUUCUGAAUGUUGGGAAUGGCUAUGGCAAUUUCUUAAAAUAAGACAACAAUGAAGUUUGCUGCAUUGAUUGACUCCCUUUCACAAAGGAUUUCUCCAUAUCAUGCAAUGCUGUUUGAUAGCAUUUUACCCAUAGUAGAACUUCUUUCAAAAUUGGAGUCAAUUCUCUCAAACCUUGUCUCUGCUUGGUCAACUAAGUUUAUGCACUAUUCCACAUCCUUUGUUGUUAUUUCAACAAUAUUUCCAGAGUCUUCACCAUGAAUAGAUUCCUUUUCAAACAACCACUUUCUUUGCUCAGCCACAAGAAGCAACUCUUCACCCAUUCAAGUUUUAUCAUGAGAUUGCAGCAAUUCAGUCACAUCAAAUUCCACUUCUAAUUCUAGUUGUUUUUCUAUUUCCACUACAUCUGCAGGUACUUUCUCCACAGAAAUUUCAAACCUCUCAAAGUCAUCCGUGAGGGUUGGAAUCAACUUCCAAAUUUCUGUGAAUGUUGAUAUUUUGACCUCCUCCUAAUCACAAAUGUUCUUAAUGGCAUCUAGAAUGGUGAAUCUUUUCCAGAAGGUUUUCUGUGUGCUUUGCCCAGUUCCAUCAGAAGAAUCACUGUCUGUGGUAGCUCUAGCCUUAUUAAAUGUAUAUUUUAAAUAAUAACACCUAAAAAUCAAAAUGACUCCUUGAUCCAUGGGCUGUAGAAUAGACAUUGUGUUAGCAGUCAUGAAAACAAGAUUAAUCUCCUCAUAUAGCACCAUUAUAGCUCUUGGGUGACCACGUGCAUUGUCAAUGACCAGUAAUAUUUUGAAAGGACACUUUUUUUUUUGAGCAGUAGGUCUCAACAGUGGACUUAAAAUAUUCAGAAAGCUGUGUUGUAAACAGAUGUGCUGCCAGCUAGGCAUCAUUGUUCCAUUUAUAGAGCACUGGUAGAGCAGAUUUAGCAUAAUUUGUCAGGACCCUAGGAUUUUUGGAAUGGUAAAUGGGCACUGGCUUCAACUUCAAGUCACCAACUGCAUUAACUCCUAAUAAGAAGAGUCAGCCUGUCCUUGAAAGUUUGAAAACAGGCAUGGACUUCUCCUCUCUAGCUAUGAAAGUCUUAGAUGGCAUCUUCCUCCAAUAGAAAUUGUUUCAUGUACAUUGAAAAUCUGUUGUUUGGUGUAGCCACCCUCUUCGAUGAUCUUAGCUAGAUCUUCUGGAUAACUUGCUACAGUUUCUACAUCAGCACUUGUUGCCUUACCUUACACUUUUAUGUUAUGGAGAUAGCUUCUUUCCUUAAACCACAGGAACAAACCUCUGCUAUCUUCUAGAUUUUCUUGGGCAACUUCCUUACUUCUUUCAGCUUUCAUAGAACUGAAUAGUGUUAGGAUCUUGCUCUGGGUUAGGUUUUGGCUUAAGGGAAUGUGGUAGCUGGUUUGAUUUAUUUAGACCACUAAAACUUUCUUCAUGUCAGCAUUAAGGCUGGUUUGCUUUAUUAUCAUUUAUGUGUUCACUGGAGUAGCACUUUAAAUUUCCUCCAAGCUUGUUUGCUUUUCAUUCACAAUGUGGCUGUUUGGUGCCAAGAGGCCUAGCUUCCCAGUCCUGGCUUUCAACAUGCCUUCCUCACUAAGCACAGUCAUUUCUAGCUAUUUAUUUAAAGUUAGAGAUGUGCAACUCUUCUUUCACUUGAACACUUAGAGGCUAUUGUAGGGUUAUUACUUGGCUUAAUUUCAAUAUUGUUGUGUCUGGAGGAAUAGAGAGGCCUGGGGACACAAAGAGAAAUGGGGAACAGCUGGUCACUGGAGCAGUGAGAACACACGCAACAUUUAUUGAUUAAAUUCGCUGUUUUAUGGGCUCGGUUCAUGGUGCUCCAAAACAAUUAUAAUAGUAACAUCAAACAUCACUGUUCACAGGUCACCAUAACAGAUAUAAUGAUAAUGAUAAUAAUAAUAAUGUUUGAAAUAUUGCAAGAAUUACCAAAAUGUGACUCAGAGAAACAACAAAGUGAGCACAUGCUGUUGGUAAAAUGGUACUGAUAGACUUGAUCCAUGCAGGGUUGCCACAAACGAUUAAUUUGCAAAACAAACAAACAAACAAAAGAACAUGCAGUAUCUGUGAAGCACAAUAAAGCAUACUGCAAAU